GCCUGGGUGGCUCAGCUGGUUAAGCGUCUGACUUCGGCUCAGGUCGUGAUCUCGCGGUCUGUGGGUUCGAGCCCCGCGUCGGGCU
rnacentral:tRNA from 1 species